UAGGACGUUUACGAUUCCGAAGUCAUUGGAAGGAGAGUCAAGAAAAGCCGAUGCUGGACGAUUAUGGUGCCCGUACUAAAACUGACACAGGUAGGCGAGAUGAGUAUUCUAAGGCGCUCGAGAGAACGCUCGUGAAGGAACUCUGCAACAUGGCUCCGUAACUUCGGGAUAAGGAGCGCCCUUUGGGGUGUUAAAGCCUCGGGGGGCCGCAGUGAAAAGGUUCUAGCGACUGUUUACUAAAAACACAGGUCUGUGCGAAGGCGCAAGCUGAAGUAUACAGACUGACGCCUGCCCGGUGCUGGUAAGUUAAGGAAGAGGGUUAGCCGUAAGGUGAAGCUCGCAACCGAAGCUCCAGUAAACGGCGGCCGUAACUAUGACGGUCCUAAGGUAGCGAAGUUCCUUGUCGGGUAAGUUCCGACCUGCAUGAAUGGCGUAACGACUGGAACACUGUCUCCACGAGCGACUCGGUGAAACUGUAGUUGUCGUGAAGAUGCGACAUACCCGCGAUUAGACGGAAAGACCCCGUGAACCUUUACUGUAGGAUGAUAUUGGGUUUAGACCAACAUGCGUAGUGUAGCUGGGAGACUUUGACCGCUGGCUUCUGGGUCAGCGUGAGUCGGCCAUUGAAGCACCAGCCUUGUUGUGUUUGAAUUCUAACUGCGAACCCAUGAAUCUGGGCGCAGGACCGUGUUAUCUGGGCAGUUUGACUGGGGCGGUCUCCUCCUAAAGAGUAACGGAGGAGUUCAAAGGUACCCUCAGCCUGGUUGGCAAUCAGGCAUCGAGCGCAAAGGUAGAAGGGUGCUUGACUGCGAGCCCGAUGGGGCGAGCAGGUGCGAAAGCGGGACUUAGUGAUCCGGCGGUGCUGGAUGGAAAGGCCGUCGCUCAACAGAUAAAAGGUACUCCGGGGAUAACAGGCUUAUCUCCUCUGAGCGUUCACAGCGGCGAGGAGGUUUGGCAUUGAUGUCGGCUCAUCGCAUCCUGGGGGUGGAGAAGCUCCCAAGGGUUUGGCUGUUCGCCAAUGAAAGCGGUACGUGAGCUGGGUUUAGACCGUCGUGAGACAGGUCGGUCCCUAUCUGUCGUGGGCGCAGGAAACGUGAGCGGUUUUUCUCCUAGUACGAGAGGAUUGGAGAGGACGCACCUCUGGUGUGCCAGUUGUCGCGCUAGCGGCAUCGCUGGGUAGCCACGUGCGGCCAGGAUAAACGCUGAAGGCAUAUAAGCGUGAAACCCUCCGCAAGAUGACGUUUCCCGUACUUUGUACGAAGGCUCCCGGAAGACUACCGGGUCGAUAGGCCGGAUGUGUAA
rnacentral:rRNA from 1 species